UCAAAGGAAUUGACGGGUCUCCGCACAAGCGGUGGAGCAUGUUGUUUAAUUCGAAGAUACGCGAAGAACCUUACCUGGUCUUGACAUCCUUUUGACCGUCCUAGAGAUAGGAUUUCCCUUCGGGGCAGAAGUGACAGGUGGYGCRUGGUUGUCGUCAGCUCGUGUCGUGAGAUGUUGGGUUAAGUCCCGCAACGAGCGCAACCCCUAUCGAUAGUUGCUAACAUUUAGUUGAGGACUCUAUCGAGACUGCCAGUGAUAAACUGGAGGAAGGUGGGGAUGACGUCAAAUCAUCAUGCCCCUUAUGACCAGGGYUACAAACGUGCUACAAUGGCCAGUACAGCGAGAUGCAAAGCGGCGACGUGGAGCAAACCUUUCAAAGCUGGUCUCAGUUCGGAUUGAAGUCUGCAACUCGACUUCAUGAAGUUGGAAUCGCUAGUAAUCGUGGGUCAGCAUACCACGGUGAAUACGUUCUCGGAGAUUGUACACACCGCCCGYCAUACCACGAGAGUCUGUAACACCCGAAGUAGGUGGCCUAACUGUAAAGAGGGAGCCUCCUAAGGUGGGAUGGAUGAUUGGGGUAAAGUCGUAACAAGGUAACCAAGGGCGAA
rnacentral:rRNA from 1 species